rnacentral:rRNA from 1 species
AGUGAACGCUGGCGGUAGGCCUAACACAUGCAAGUCGAACGGCAGCACAGUAAGAGCUUGCUCUUACGGGUGGCGAGUGGCGGACGGGUGAGGAAUACAUCGGAAUCUACUUUUUCGUGGGGGAUAACGUAGGGAAACUUACGCUAAUACCGCAUACGAUCUACGGGUGAAAGCAGUGGAUCUUCGGACCUUGCGCGAUUGAAUGAGCCGAUGUCGGAUUAGCUAGUUGGCGGGGUAAAGGCCCACCAAGGCGACGAUCCGUAGCUGGUCUGGGAGGAUGGUCGGCCACACUGGAACUGAGCCACGGUCCAGGCUCCUACGGGAGGCAGCAGUGGGGAAUAUUGGACAAUGGGCGCAAGCCUGAUCCAGCCAUACCGCGUGGGUGAAGAAGGCCUUCGGGUUGUAAAGCCCUUUUGUUGGGAAAGAAAAGCAGCAGGUUAAUACCCCGCUGUUCUGACGGUACCCAAAGAAUAAGCACCGGCUAACUUCGUG